rnacentral:rRNA from 1 species
AGAGUUUGAUCCUGGCUCAGAACGAACGCUGGCGGCGUGGAUAAGACAUGCAAGUCGGACGAGAUUUUCCGUUGUAGCAAUACGAUGGAAAGUCUAGUGGCGAACGGGUGCUUAACACGUGGGCAACCUGCCAAGAAGUGGGGGAUAGCUCGCCGAAAGGCGAAUUAAUACCGCAUGUGAUCAGAGAGGACAUCCUUUCGAAAUUAAAGUCGGGGCAACCUGACGCUUUUUGUGGGGCCCGCGGCCUAUCAGCUAGUUGGUGAGGUAACGGCCCACCAAGGCUUUGACGGGUAGCUGGUCUGAGAGGACGACCAGCCACACUGGGACUGAGACACGGCCCAGACACCUACGGGUGGCAGCAGUCGAGAAUUUUUGACAAUGGGGGAAACCCUGAUCGAGCGACGCCGCGUGGAGGAUGAAGGUCUUCGGAUUGUAAACUCCUGUCAUUGGGGAACAAGUCGCUUACGUUAACUGCGUGAGCGUUGAUAGUACCCGAAGAGGAAGAGACGGCUAACUCUGUGCCAGCAGCCGCGGUAAUACAGAGGUCUCAAGCGUUGUUCGGAUUCAUUGGGCGUAAAGGGUGCGUAGGCGGCGCGGUAAGUCGGGUGUGAAAUCUCGGAGCUUAACUCCGAAACUGCAUUCGAUACUGCCGUGCUUGAGGACUGGAGAGGAGACUGGAAUUUACGGUGUAGCGGUGAAAUGCGUAGAUAUCGUAAGGAAGACCAGUGGCGAAGGCGGGUCUCUGGACAGUUCCUGACGCUGAGGCACGAAGGUCAGGGGAGCAAACGGGAUUAGAUACCCCGGUAGUCCUGACAGUAAACGGUGCACGUUUGGUGUGGGAGGAUUCGACCCCUUCUGCGCCGGAGCUAACGCGUUAAACGUGCCGCCUGGGGAGUACGGUCGCAAGAUUAAAACUC